rnacentral:rRNA from 1 species
GAUGAACGCUAGCGGCAGGCUUAAUACAUGCAAGUCGAGGGGGCAGCAAUGUCACCGGCGGACGGGUGCGUAACGCGUAUGAAACCUACCUUUAUCAGGGGGAUAGCCCGGGGAAACCCGGAUUAAUACCGCAUAACAUAUUAAACGGCAUCGUUUAAUAUUGAAAGAUUUAUCGGAUAGAGAUGGUCAUGCGUAGGAUUAGCUAGUUGGUAAGGUAACGGCUUACCAAGGCGACGAUCCUUAGGGGCUCUGAGAGGAGUGACCCCCACACUGGCACUGAGAUACGGGCCAGACUCCUACGGGAGGCAGCAGUAGGGAAUAUUGGGCAAUGGGCGAGAGCCUGACCCAGCCAUGCCGCGUGCGGGAAGACGGCCCUCUGGGUUGUAAACUGCUUUUGAAUGGGAAGAACGGUAGGCCUGCGGGCUUAAUUGACGGUACCAUUAGAAUAAGCCACGGCUAACUACGUGCCAGCCGCCGCAGUAAUAC